AGAGUUUGAUCAUGGCUCAGAUUGAACGCUGGCGGCAGGCCUAACACAUGCAAGUCGAGCGGAAACGAUCCUAGCUUGCUAGGAGGCGUCGAGCGGCGGACGGGUGAGUAACGCGUGAGAAUCUGCCCAUUUGUGGGGGGUAACUCGGGGAAACUCGAGCUAAUACCGCAUAAUCCCUACGGGGGAAAGCAGGGGACCUUCGGGCCUUGUGCAGAUGGAUGAGCUCGCGUCGGAUUAGCUUGUUGGUGAGGUAAAGGCUCACCAAGGCGACGAUCCGUAGCUGGUCUGAGAGGAUGAUCAGCCACACCGGGACUGAGACACGGCCCGGACUCCUACGGGAGGCAGCAGUGGGGAAUCUUGGACAAUGGGGGCAACCCUGAUCCAGCCAUGCCGCGUGUGUGAAGAAGGCCUUCGGGUUGUAAAGCACUUUCAGUAGGGAGGAAGGCUUACCGUUAAUAGCGGUGAGUACUUGACGUUACCUACAGAAGAAGCACCGGCUAAUUUCGUGCCAGCAGCCGCGGUAAUACGAAAGGUGCGAGCGUUAAUCGGGAUUACUGGGCGUAAAGCGCGCGUAGGCGGUUUGUUAAGUCAGAUGUGAAAGCCCCGGGCUCAACCUGGGAAUUGCAUUUGAAACUGGCAGGCUAGAAUGCAGUAGAGGGAGGUGGAAUUUCCGGUGUAGCGGUGAAAUGCGUAGAGAUCGGAAGGAACACCAGUGGCGAAGGCGGCCUCCUGGACUGACAUUGACGCUGAGGUGCGAAAGCG
rnacentral:rRNA from 1 species